GUUUCAUAGCGACCAAGUCGUAGCUAAAGACACGGUAAUUCACAUAGAUUAUCACAGAUAAUGUCACACAUGCGGUUAAAAUGUCGCGCAUUGUCUUGGUUCAAGUUACUCAACUGUGGCAAAUGAACCUAUAUGAUAAAGCUGUGCACAAACUCCAGUUUUUUCGAGCCAUGCAAACAAUUUAGCAUAAUCGAAAGGACAACAUAACGAGGGUCGGGAUAUCCCGAGCCUGCCCUCUCCCUCCACUGAGCAGAUGAUGGUUACAUCCGGGAUCCUGGGAUGGAGACAAACGACAUUAAACAGCUUGUACAAGCACGAGCAGAGGACCUGCAACAGUUUUGGUUCCCCCAGUCCAGAUCCCAUCGGAGUGGGAAGACCUGGAAAUCCAGUUGCAAGCCAAGGAAACGGUAAUCUCUGAUCUGGAGAGGAAGCCCAGAGACGUUUUCCAACAGAAACAAAAGACUGUAACCCAGGUGCUGGAGGGCAGUAGGAGGCUCUCGUGUCUGCAGCGGAUCCAGAAAGGCGACAUGAAGGAGAUCGCUGAGAAAGACACUUGCAUCACCAAACUGCAGGCCGACACUGAGCUGCUGCAGCAAGAGGGGGGCCGACGCAGACGCUCAGCUGAAUGGGAGAGAGCGAGGGAGCUUCAGCAGGAGCCGAGGCGAAAAAGAUGAGGAAUGGAGGCAAAGCGAAGACGAAAGGAGGCAGAAAUGUGAAAAGCAGUGUCAGGAGGCAGACGAGGCGGCUGAGAAAAGUGGAGGAGGUGAAGAAGAGGGAGGAACAACAACGGCGGGAGGGGAUUGAGGAGGAGAGAGAGGCCCAUACUCGAAUCUAUAAAAAGGGGACUGAGAAGUCUGAGUUGCCGGUCAGAGUCUCACCAGAAGGAGGAGAUUCUUCUCUCUGAGGUUUGGAAAACACAAGCAAAAGAAGAAAAAGAAAAAGAUGAAAGCGCGAGAUGAGCAUGGGAGCCACCUGGACCAGGAUGUGGUUGGUUUGCGAGCCACACGGGACUCUGUGACGGGAACCUUGGCAAUGACGGAGAAACAAAAGCAACAGCUGGUCAUUGACAAUGCACGGCUCAAUGAAAGCAGAGCAAACUGCAAACCACCGAGUGCUUGUGGAACGACACCCGUGAAACAACACCGGCCCCGGACACGGAAAGAGCAGCAGAGAGUGCAGAUCCAAGACCAGUUGCACCGCUCCAACAAAGAGAAGGAGCACGUGCAGCAGGAGCUGAUACACGUGCGUCACACACCACUGAAAAGAAGAAGAGGGAGAUUAGGACGUGCGCGCUGGUGAGGGAGCUCACCGAGAGUAAGAUGCGGCACUCUGAAUGUCAAAAUGAGGCCUUGGGGGGACCUGAGCGGGGAGAGGGACGAGCAGGGGGCCCAGACGGGGGGCCGGAGCAGAGAGUCUGACCACGGCAUCCAGAACGAAGAGACACCGGAGGCUGAGAAGGUCCAUGACAACAGGACCUUACACCUGCAGGAGGAGGUGGGACCAUUGAAACACGAGGUCGGAGGUCACCAGGAUGAGUCGUGUCCGCUCAGCCAAGAGGCCGGAGGGAUGCAGCGCCUCAUGGAGCAGAAAGAGAAGCAGCAACAGCGGCGGCUACGCCAUCAGCUCCGCGUUGGUCGGCAACAGGUCGAGACAUUUGGAGGGAAGCUAAAGAAGCAGGAGGUUGAGAUGGAAAUUCUCCGUGAGCAGCUGAAAGGAGCCGAGGAGGUGAUAAGAGACGCAGGUUUACGAGCCCGGGAGCAGAAGGAAACCAUAGCCAUUUUUAGACAAAAGUACAACGCAGCCAUGGAGAAGGUGCAUCGGGUGCAAGGACAGGUGGAGCUAUUGAAAGAGGAACUACAGUACUCACAGCAACAGCUUCGAGAUUCCCAAUUGGCCGCGCAUUCAGCGAAAGAGGAGCUCGCUGGGAUGGAGCAGCGGUAUCUGGAGAAGGUCGGCCACUGGGAGAACGCCCAGGAGGCUUUAGACCAGUUGGCGGAUGAACUCCUGGCGAGCCGGACCCUCCUGAGGGAGAGUCAACAAAGAGCUGACCACCUUAAAGGCUUAGUGGAAACCAUGCGGGAGCAGGUGGACACGAUCAAACAGCAGAAGCUGAUGUUGGAGUGCGACCGACAGCUGCACCAACAGAGUCGUUGUGAUGAGCAGUGGCACAGAGAGCAGCUACACAAGCGCUGCACCGAGCAGGUUGUGCGCCUUGCCGAGUGUGAAAAGGCGAUUCUUCAGAUGAAGUCGGAGCUGGAGAGACAGGUCCGGCGAGAAGCAGAUCGGAGGCAAAGUUCCGUUGCUUCCCGCCGUGCAAACAUGAGCGAUCGCAUCCAACUGGAACAGGAAGUGAUACAUCUGAAAAAGGAAGUGGCAGCCGUAAGGCGUGAGCCGGCGGACACCCAAAAGGUUCAUAUGGCACUUGGCCGACAGUCAGAGGAGCAGCUGAAGGAGGUCAGGAGAGCGGCGGCGAGGCGGAGCGGCGAUGGGUUCGCGCACAGAGAGGAGGUGCAGAGACUUCAGGAGGACUUACUGAAGGCGGAGGAGAGAAUGAGGAGGCAGUUGAGUCGAGAGCUGGAGGAGCCGCGCAGCGAGCCGCAAGUGACAGCGGAGGAGUUGGCAACCCGUGCAGAGGAGGCGAGGCGGAUGCAGGGGCGGCUGAAUGAGGGAAAGCUAGCGGAGGAGAAAAUAAGGUCACGGGACGGGGGGCCGGAGACAGAAGUGGCGGCGCUCCGGAGGAAUCUUCAGCAUGCUGUCGAUCACAAACUCCAGGCGGAGCGGGAGAAACGGGAAGCCCGGGAACAGGUGGACACACUGCUGGCGGAGCUGGAGGAGACGCGGUCUGAGAAGGCAAACCUGCGCCAUGAGAGCCAGUUGGUCGUGACUAAUGUCAACUGUUGGAUUGCUAAACAAAAAGCUUCCAACGAGAGCCUCAGUGGCCGGACGGAGGCCCAGAACAAGGUGCUGCUCAUCCUCACUGAAGAGAAAGCGCACCUUCAAGGUUCUAAUGACGCGUUGAAAGCGGAGGUAACGCGACUAAAAGAGGUGGGGGACGAGAAGACGAGAGACACGGAGCGCUUCCAGGUGAACGAGCAAUGAGCUAGUGGGGAGAGACCAAAAGAGAGUCUAUCGCAACAACAGAUUUGUUUUUGUUUUUUAUCUUCCUUUUGUACUUUGUUCGCAGGCCUGGACCCGGGCGUCCCGCAAGACAGGAGAGCCAUGGAAAAGCAGAGCUGUGCGGCUGUGGCUCUAAACCUCAGCAAAAUCCAGGACAUGCAGACUAGACUUCGAAGCAACCUGGAGGCCAUCAGAAUGCUAAAUCAACAAUUGAACUCUCUCAGCGGGGAGAAUAAGCGGUUGCGCAGGCAGCUGGAGGACGAGCGGUCCGUGCGCAGACUGCUGCCUCCUCUUCCUCCUCCUCCACCUUCCAGCAGAGCUCCAUCGUCCACCUCCCCCUGUCCCCCGGUGCUCACCCGGCUCUCCUCUCUGCGCCCGCCUUGUUCUCGUCCCACCGCCCCCCCCCCCCCCUCCACCCCUCAGGCGUGGACAGAGCCUCGCUGUUGGGACAGGUGAGUCAGGGGGGGGGGGUCAGGCCCAACGCCUCACUGGGAAAAGUGCUCGGCCCGGGAGGACGAGCGGGGAUCUGAACAGACGAAGCAACACUGAAGACUUUGACCCGUCAUGACUCGUUGGCCUCCACCUCCUCGCCAGGGAGCGAAGUCAGUGCGAGGUUAAUGUCCUGCAGGUCCAAGCCGACUCCCAGGGUGCUUUUUGGCCUGAAGGGGGCUCCAGAACCGGCGAACGAUGGAAUUCCCUCAAAUCAUGUAAUAUCCACUCAGGAUAUUUCUACUGCUGGGCCAGAAGGAGAAGGAGAAUUUAUUCCAAGAAUAUAUAUAUAUAUAUAUUAUGUUUAAAUAGAUUCUGACACUUAACAUCAAAAAUGUAUGCAUCCUCAAAAUGCUGUAAUGCUCUGAAGAGCGGCAGCCCGUCUUCACGAAAUGAUCACAAAACUCUAAAGACCAAGAUGUCACUUGUCUGCACUUACUUGAAGUAAAGGGUUAGAGGUCAUCAGAACUGUCAGAAUCUUCAACGUAUAAUCAAAUGAACUAAAAAGAACAGGUUGUUGAUGAAUGUGUCUUACACAGAGAGUCGCGUCGGACGAAUGGGGGGGCGACGUGUCCUCAGUAUCCUCGAGUGCCUGUGGAUGAGUGUGUGAUUGAGUUUAUUAGAUGUUUGGUAUUUUGCUUUAUACUAAAAAACCACUUAUUGAUUCCUCUCUGUUGCUGCCCCCCCCCCCCCCCUCGUGUUGUAUGGACGGG
ensembl:lncRNA